AGGAAAGUAGCUCAGUGGUAGAGUGCUUGCCUUGCAUGCAUGAGGCCCUGGGUUCGAUUCCUCUGCUUAUGUA
rfam:Dipodomys ordii contig_12503, whole genome shotgun sequence.